GCGAAAGUGAAGCGUUACGAGAUCUGAUGUCACAGCGUCGGGUAGAAUAACAAGCAACGUGGGAGGAGGAAGCUGGGAGCUGAUGGACUGCGAUCCAACAAUACAGGUUCUGCGCGGCAGGAGUCCCCGCCACCGGGCCGCGUGCGAGCCCCACAGGGAGACUGGACGAACCUUUGGGGGAUUUGCUUUAUCUUAUUGGGCUGUCUGCAGACAGGUUGACAUCGGUCUUGAGAAUUUCUUCUCAAUUGCCUUCGCUGGAUGAUGGAUGAUGGAUGAUGGACGGAUAGCAUAAAAGGUUGAGGAGCACUGCUGCGCUGGAGUUUGUCGAAACAGUGCAGGACAACUUAGACAUACUCGCAGGACAACUACGUUACCAGUGAUUCAAGACUUCCCUCGCGAGCAUCCCAGAGUCAAAUCCCAAGUAAAAGUCUUCACUUCGACACGUGGCGAUCUGCAGAUUGAAGGCCUUGGCGGAGUCGAUUUCCAAAGAUUCAGCACCAAGCCAAAAUCCUCAAACAUCUAAAGGGGAUUAUUCCACACAGCUCUGGGGCUUUUGCCACCUACUCUCCAAAAAUUCAGCUGGGAUUCUCUGGAAAACGUGGGAACGUGCAAAGCUUCGGGGAAGACGACGUUCGAAGACACCAGGAAUGCAGUAUGUGCGCCUCUUUACUUCCAAAGACGGAAUAUAAACCACACUCACUGUCAACUUUGCAUUGGUGAUGCAGAAUGAGAGCGAUAGAAAUCCAAGUUUGCUCUCAAACGUGGAGAGCAUGUACCGCAUCCAGUGUUGGGGACUAACUAGUUACAUGAAUAUUUGAAUUGCAAAAGGUAUGUCAUUGUAAUCCAUUACAAUACUGGGAGAACAUGUGUGAUUAAAUCACAUUGUUAUUACAAAUUUUGUUACGUUUGAAAAACUGUCACAAAAACUUUUUUUUGGGGGGGGGGGGAAUAUCACUUCCUCCCGCUCAAGCCCACGCUCUAGUCAUGUGCCAUUCUGCGUAGUCUCAAACGAAACAUAUUUUUCCAAAUAUGACCUGAAGCGCCACCUUGUGGAUUUUGAAAAGGUUACACUCGUCGUUACACUUUUUGGAACACUUGAUUUUGGACAUUUUGGAAACAUGGACUUAUCUGGGUUGUCAUAUGACGUUGCGACAUUGUCUAAAUUGUGCACGUUUGUCAUUAGGUCACGAUGGUAUGGUAUGGUGGUAUUUUUAUGAUCUAUUUACAUUUCAUCCUGUUUUGUUAUCCGUUUACGAUCUGUGGAAAGAAUA